rnacentral:rRNA from 1 species
GCAUAUCAAUAAGCGGAGGAAAAGGAACCAACCGGGAUUGCCUUAGUAACGGCGAGUGAAGCGGCAAAAGCUCAAAUUUGAAAUCUGGUACCUUCGGUGCCCGAGUUGUAAUUUGGAGAGGGCAACUUUGGGGCCGUUCCUUGUCUAUGUUCCUUGGAACAGGACGUCAUAGAGGGUGAGAAUCCCGUGUGGCGAGGAGUGCGGUUCUUUGUAAAGUGCCUUCGAAGAGUCGAGUUGUUUGGGAAUGCAGCUCUAAGUGGGUGGUAAAUUCCAUCUAAAGCUAAAUAUUGGCGAGAGACCGAUAGCGAACAAGUACAGUGAUGGAAAGAUGAAAAGAACUUUGAAAAGAGAGUGAAAAAGUACGUGAAAUUGUUGAAAGGGAAGGGCAUUUGAUCAGACAUGGUGUUUUGUGCCCUCUGCUCCUUGUGGGUAGGGGAAUCUCGCAUUUCACUGGGCCAGCAUCAGUUUUGGUGGCAGGAUAAAUCCAUAGGAAUGUAGCUUGCCUCGGUAAGUAUUAUAGCCUGUGGGAAUACUGCCAGCUGGGACUGAGGACUGCGACAUAAGUCAAGGAUGCUGGCAUAAUGGUUAUAUGCCGCCCGUCUUGAAACACGGACC